rnacentral:rRNA from 1 species
AGUGAACGCUGGCGGUAGGCCUAACACAUGCAAGUCGAACGGCAGCACAGUAAGAGCUCGCUCUUACGGGUGGCGAGUGGCGGACGGGUGAGGAAUACAUCGGAAUCUACUUUUUCGUGGGGGAUAACGUAGGGAAACUUACGCUAAUACCGCAUACGACCUACGGGUGAAAGCAGGGGAUCUUCGGACCUUGCGCGAUUGAAUGAGCCGAUGUCGGAUUAGCUAGUUGGCGGGGUAAAGGCCCACCAAGGCGACGAUCCGUAGCUGGUCUGAGAGGAUGAUCAGCCACACUGGAACUGAGACACGGUCCAGACUCCUACGGGAGGCAGCAGUGGGGAAUAUCGGACAAUGGGCGCAAGCCUGAUCCAGCCAUACCGCGUGGGUGAAGAAGGCCUUCGGGUUGUAAAGCCCUUUUGUUGGGAAAGAAAAGCAGCAGGUUAAUACCCCGCUGUUCUGACGGUACCCAAAGAAUAAGCACCGGCUAACUUCGUG